GCAGCAGGCACGCAAAUUACCCACUCCCGGCACGGGGAGGUAGUGACAAAAAAUAACGAUACGGGACUCUAUUGAGGCCCCGUAAUCGGAAUGAGUACACUUUAAAUCCUUUAACAAGGAUCCAUUGGAGGGCAAGUCUGGUGCCAGCAGCCGCGGUAAUUCCAGCUCCAAUAGCGUAUAUUAAAGUUGUUGCGGUUAAAAAGCUCGUAGUUGGUUCUGCGUGCCGCGCUGUCGGUUCGCCGCCUGUCGGUGUAACUGGCAUGUCGCGGCAUGUCCUGUCGGUGGUGAACGUGAUUCCCGGUACAACUAAGGCUUAACAGCCGAAGUUGGUGCCGUGCGAAUUGCGUUUGCCGAUCUCUCCUACUCCGGUGCUCUUAAACGAGUGUCGAGGUAGGCCGACACGUUCACUUUGAACAAAUUAGAGUGCUUAAAGCAGGCUGAAAUAUCUGCCUGAAUAGUGGUGCAUGGAAUGAUAAAAUAGGACCUCGGUUCUAUUUUGUUGGUUUUAGGAAUGUGAGGUAAUGAUCAAUGUGGACUGGCGGGGGCAUUCGUAUUGCGACGUUAGAGGUGAAAUUCUUGGAUCGUCGCAAGACGCACUAAAGCGAAAGCAUUUGCCAAGUAUGUCUUAAUUGAUCAAGAACGAAAGUUAGAGGUUCGAAGGCGAUCAGAUACCGCCCUAGUUCUAACCAUAAACGAUGCCAGCCAGCGAUCCGCCGAUGUUCCAUUAAUGACUCGGCGGGGAGCUUCCACCCGGGAAACCAAAGCUUUUGGGUUCCGGGGGAAGUAUGGUUGCAAAGCUGAAACUUAAAGGAAUUGACGGAAGGGCACCACCAGGAGUGGAGCCUGCGGCUUAAUUUGACUCAACACGGGAAACCUCACCAGGCCAGGACAUUGGAAGGAUUGACAGAUUGAUAGCUCUUUCUUGAUUCAGUGGGUAGUGGUGCAUGGCCGUUC
rnacentral:rRNA from 1 species